AUUGAACGCUGGCGGCAGGCCUAACACAUGCAAGUCGAACGAGUGGCGGACGGGUGAGUAAUGUCUGGGAAACUGCCCGAUGGAGGGGGAUAACUACUGGAAACGGUAGCUAAUACCGCAUACCAUCGGAUGUGCCCAGAUGGGAUUAGCUAGUAGGUGGGGUAACGGCUCACCUAGGCGACGAUCCCUAGCUGGUCUGAGAGGAUGACCAGCAAACCUGGAACUGAGACACGGUCCAGACUCCUACGGGAGCCAGCAGAGGGAAAUAUUGCACAAUGGGCGCAAGCCUGAUGCAGCCAUGCCGCUUGUAUGAAGAAGGCCUUCGGGUUGUAAAGUACUUUCAGCGGGGAGGCGUUACCCGCAGAAGAAGCACCGGCUAACUCCGUGCCAGCCGCCGCGGUAAUAC
rnacentral:rRNA from 1 species